GCGGAAGGUGGGGUGUGGGGCCGGAAGACCCUCCCCCCGCGUCUUCAGAGGAGCGCUGUUUCUGGAGGAGUUAGGGGAAGGAGGCUGCCUGGUAAGCCAGGAAAGGGGCUUCUGGCCGUUCUGUUGGAGCGCCUCUGACUGACUUCCCCCAUGUGUCCGUGUGGCCACACCGUGCUACUUUCAGAGGCAGUGGGCUUUUCGCUAAGGGAUAAAAAGAAGUAAAACCUUGCCUUUAGCGCAGCUCUCCUUCACUGGGCAGAUUGCUCUCCCUCCCCACUCUCCCAGGCCCAAAUUGGAUCUCAGCGCCUGGGAGCUCCAACUUUAGCAAGUGCGAAAUCCUGUCUUCGGUUUUGGAAUUUUCAUCCGCACAGACUAUAUCAGCCACGGAUAGGAUAUGUGAGAAUACCAGCAUGUCAAGGCUGGGAAUCAUCCUUAGGCAUCACCUAGCCAGUCCUGCCUCUCAUUUUAAGAUGCAGAGUGUUCAUAUGAGGAGAGACUUUCCCUUGUCUCCGUCAUCUGUGAUUUCACUUCCCUGACAGAAGACGAAGCUUCCAUCUCAGAUGUUUUCUUAAAUGAUGAAACAGCAUACGCCUCUGUUCUUGUCAGCUCAGGGAAAACAGAUCUGGGGACCUCUUCAUCUCUGCGUUGGGAAGCAUAGGUGGUAUAAUCCCCUCCUGUCACGUCCAACGUUGCAUAGUCAGAAGCUUCGCCCUUGUAGUUGGUGCACACAGCACGGUGAUCACAGGAUCUGGUUUGCCACUGAAAGGAAUCUUGAUGCUGACCACUUCACCUCGGAGAGCAUGAACUGCUCCCAUGCCUUCAAGAGUUUUAGUGGGUAACCAGGAUGGAACUGCGGUGUUGCUUGCAGGAGAAGCUUACUACUGGUUUCUACUUCUCCAACCUCAUUGGUGGCUAUGCAGGCACUGUCUCCAGACUGUCUAUAUUCAACCCAGUAUCCAAGAAUUUCUUUACCACCAUCACAUUCAGGUUUCUCCCACUGUAGAGUGACACUAUCUUUGGAUAUUGAAAGAAUCUCAAGUUCUCCUGGUUGGCUUGGUUUAUCUGAAAUAUUUUAAAAUAAUGAAAAGGGAGUCAGCUUUACUGGUGAAAUAAAAGGACCAAACAUGGCUUGCUUCUUUAAUUUAACCCCUUCUUCUGAAUUCCUUACCAAAUGGAUCUUUGCAAACAACUGGUUCAGAAGCAGGGCUGGUCUCACUCAGGCCAACAUCAUUCUGUGCGAUGAUGCGGAACUGAUACUCAGCAUCGGGAACAAGCCCUGUGACAGUGUACAUUGUGGUGGUGAUCUGAGUCUUGUUGUGUCUGACCCACUUGUCAGUGGAUGUCUCUUUGCGUUCGAUGUAGUAGCCUGUGACUCUAGAACCACCAUCAUCUUUGGGCCGGGACCAGGACAAGCUAACAGAACUCUUGGUUACAUCGAGUACUUCUGGAGGAUUGCUUGGAGGUUCUGGAGGAUCUGUAAAUAUAAGUGGAAAGCACACAUGUAUUAGAAUACAGUCCCAAGUAUUAUAAGCCAAUGACUUUCAUUUAAAAACAGAAAAGUGCUGAAAUAAUGUUUAUAAUUUUGUGGUUGAAAGGGCACUUACUCAAUGGUGUUUUUGGUGUGACUGGUUCCUCAGAUUUCAAGGGUUUGCUUAUGCCAAACUGGUUUUCUGCUGAAACACGGAAAUGGUAUUCUACAUUCUCUUUGAGGCCUUUUACCACCAGAGAUGUACCUCGGACUCUGGAAUCAAUGGUAUACCAGGCGGCUUUAGGCACUUCUCGUCUCUCGAGGAUGUAGCCUAAGAUGUCAGCACCACCAUCAUCAGCAGGAGGUCUCCAGCUGACCCUCACAGAGCGGACUUGGAUGUCAUCAUAUUCCAGUGGCCCUUCUGGACUGUUGGGACUUCCUAUCACCCUGACCUUGAUGUAGACAGCCUUCUUGCCACAUUUAUUUUCCAGAACCAGGUCAUAAGUGCCAGAAUCACCCCUGUCUGCUUCUUUGAUCACAAGCUCAGUGUGUGUUUCAGAUGUUGCAAUCAUGGCACGCUUACUAAUAUCCUGGCCUUCCUUGGUCCAUUUACAUAUUGGGAAUGGUUUUCCUUUGAUUGGUAUGGUAAGUCUGAUGACGCCACCUUGCCUUACAAAGAUACCUUCUUGGUAUCUUUCAUCAAGUUCAUAAUCAGGAUAUUCUGGAAAAAAAGGUAGGGUUUCAAUUUAGCAUUUGGGGUAGGGGGACUAAGAAAUAAGUCUAUGGCAAUUAUUGCAGAAAGCAAAUGAUCAUAUGUCUCACCAAGCAUUUCAGUGACUUUGACUGUUCCUGGUACCUCAGCAGGCUCACCAGGUCCACCAGCAUUACAAGCUAGGACGCGGAACCUGUAUUCUGCACCCUGAGGUAGGUGUGUUAGAGUAUACUCUCGAAUCUUGGUUGGAGUGGUGUUACACUUGGUCCAUUCAUGUUGAUCUACUUUUUGCAUUUCAAUCAAGUAGCCUGUGACUUUAGAUCCUCCUUCAUCUUCUGGAACACUCCAGGCCAGGGAGACUGAUGUCCUUGUUGUAUCAGUAACUCUUGGGUUUUGUGGCUUUCCUGGAGGAGCUGAGAAUAAGAAUAAGAAUAUACUGGUUAAAGUUGCUGCAAAGUUGAAAAUUAGCUGUGCCACCUAACAAAUUCAAUGAGUUGUUGAAACGGACUGUUAACAUUAGCCUGUUUUUUUGUCUUGUGAAAAUUUUAUUCAUGGCUGGGUGUGGUGGCUCAUGCCUGUAAUCACAGCAAGUUGGGAGGCCAAGGUGGGCAGAUACUUGAGGUCAGGAGUUAGUUCAAGACCAGCCUGGCCAACAUGGUGAAACCGCGUCUCUACUAAAAACAUAAAAAUUAGCCAUGCGUGGUGGCAGGCACCUGUAAUCCCAGCUACUCAGGAGGCUGAGGCAGAAGAAUUGCUUGAACCUGGGAGACAGAGGUUGCAGUGAGCCAAGAUCAUGCCACUGCACUCCAGCCUGGGUGACAG
rnacentral:lncRNA from 1 species